GUGGGCGUCGCCAAGUGGUAAGGCAUUGGACUGUGACUCCUUCAUCGCGGGUUCGAUCCCCGUCGUUCACCCA
rnacentral:tRNA from 1 species